rnacentral:snRNA from 1 species
GUGUUUGCUUAGGCAACACGCAUCCUAAAAUUAGAACAAGAUAGAGGUGAUUAGUAUGCCCCCUGGGCAGUGAUGACGUGUGCCUUCAUGGGGCCUUUUUAGAUUUUU